ensembl:lncRNA
UUUUUUUUUUUUUUUUCUCCUUAGUUCUCAGCAAGUAUUGAUCUCAUUCUCUGUAUUGCAUUAAACAUCCCAAAAUAUUAUCAAUUGCACACUUAGCCCAGUUUGGGAGAACUAAGUGUGAGACUCAUUUAAAAAAGUCCAGUCAUAUCAGUUUUCACUUUUUGAUAAGCUAUUUUUAACCUUUCACAAUAAAGCAUGACAGGCACCAGAAAACAAGCUACUUUUGGCUACUUUUAAAUAAAAGAGCCUGCAUAGGUUACGUGUCAUUUUUUUAAACCAUGUGCCUGUUUGGCUUGUGUAUAACCACCAAAAAAAAAUAAACAGUUGAAAAGAAAAGGACACAACUCUGCUUCUGAGGUGAUGUAACAAAGAAUUAUCUUUAAUGUCCCUGUCCCAUAUUUUAUAGAAGUUUCUCUCUUGCAUACUGGAAUAAUAUAUAAUCUAGAUGAGAUUGGUAGGGCCAGAAAUCUUAAUUUAUUUAUUGCAUAAGCAUAAUGCCAACCACCUCCUGUUUUCAUUAUACCAAUCUAAUGCCAGCCAUUUCCUGUUUUCAUUAGACCAUUGUAAUGCUAGACUCCUACUGUUCUCAUUAGUGCAGGACUGUGUAAUGGCAACCACCUCAUGUUUUCAUUAUAACAGAACUGUAUGGUGCCAGCUGCCACUUAUUUUACUUUACAGAAGAGCAUUUGAAUAGUCCAUAUCUUUUUCAAGAGAACAUAUACAGAGAUGUCAAGGACCCUAGGGGUCUAAGGCCCCUGAGAAAAUGAUGGGAAACACUCUUCCUGACAACUUUGCUGCUGGAAGAAUAGCAGUGCUUAUACAGUAUGUACAGAGAAGUGGUUGAAGGCUGGGGUUAAACUGUUGUGGGACAGGUUUAAAUUCUAGGAACUGCUUUUGUGAUCCAUAAGCUAUCUGAUCUUCCUGAAGAAGAUGAAAAGGUGAUUGCAAUAGUUCAAGGUCUGGAUUAGAAUAACAGGGAAAUGCAAGUCAAAUUCCUGGCUCCAGCACACAUUGCGUGAGCAGACCAUAACCUAUAAAUUCUGUCACAUUACUUCAGUUUUGAUGGGUCUGGAGAUAAUAAGAUUUUCACUAUCUGAAAUAUUGUUUUGUUUUGCUUUGCUUCAUUUCUGUAAUACUUUUUCAAUAUGAAACAUUUCACUGCUUAUCAGUAGUGCUUUAAAAAGAAGAUGUAACUCCUUUGCUAGGGUCUUCAAAUGCUAUUGUGAUGAUAUUAAAUAGUACUAAGUACUGCCUGAUGGCACAAAAAUCUUCAAUUGAGACUUCUUAAAAUAUAGUUUGAAAGCUGAAAGGGUUCUGUCACUAAGGUGCUGCUAAGUUGUUCUUACACUGCAGAGCAUUAGGGCUUUACUUACUUUUCAUAGUAAGUAUCAGAAUAAAAUUUCCUCUAAUUAAAAAAAAUAUAUAUAGGAUGCUGUAAAAAUAUUUUUUCUGAAAAUCUUUUCUAUAUUAUUCUAAAAUGUUUAUAUUUGGAUGCUCAGGUUCCUGUUCAUAAUGAACAUAAUAUAGAUGUCAAAAAAGCCCCUCCAAAACAUCCCAGUGUCAUUGCUCUGUAAAAGCUAUGCAGCUUCUAUGUGGAUACCUUGUAACAUCACUGCAAAAACAUACCUGGUUUACAUAAGGGGACUGCAGCCUCAGUUCAAUAAGGAAUGAAUGAGCUGCAUAUUAGUCAUGAGGUAGAGCUACCACAUCUACUGGUAGACACACAUCUGCUGCCUCUAUUCUGAAGCCUUGGGGGCUUCAAGUGCUCGGUAUCACAACCAGAAAAAGCACCACAGUGAAGGCCAUUACUCUGUACCUGACCAAAAUUAUCACUUCUGCGCAGUGACUUUGAUUUUAAUUAUUUGUGUGAUGCCAGCUUGUCAUGUUUUAUCGGUUGUAUGUUUUAAUGAUUUAUAGCUUCCCUGUAGCUCAGGAGAGGAGGAGAAAAGCUCUGUAGACAUGUAUUAUGAAAAUAAUUUUUUUCUGUUACAAUAAAUACUGGUUGUGGUGGGUCGACCUUGGCUGCAGUCCAGGUGCCCACCAAACGGCCUAGCAGUCCCCUCUCCAUGAGGACAGGAGGAGAAAACAAGAUGCAAAAAACACUAAUAGGAAAAGAUAAGGGCAGUUUAAAAUAGCAAAAGCAAGACUGCAUGCAUUAGCAAAGGAAAACAAAAGAUUUAUUUUUUACUUCCCAUCAGCAGGUGAUGUCCAGUUCUUUUCUGGGAAGUAGGACUUCAGCGCAUGCAGCACUUGCUCCAGAAGACAAAUGUCAUAAAUAAUUAAUCCCUCCCACCUGUUCCUUUCUCUUAUCUUUCAUGUCUGAGAAGAUAUCAUAUAGACUACCCCUUUGGUCAUCUGUCCUGGCUAUAUCCUGUGCCAAGGUCUUUCCCAUCCCCAGAGUACUGUUGUGGGCAGGAGUGUGCAUAGGAUGUUGGGAAGGCAGCACUGAUGCUGUGCCAGCCCGGCUCAGCAGGGGCCAGAACACUGGUGUGUUACCAACACCUUUCCAGCUACCACUGCAGAGCACAGUGCUGUGAGGGCUGCUGUGGGGAAAAUGAAAUUAAUCUUAGCCAGACCAAAUACCCUGGCACUUACACUGAUUUGUCUGGGAGAAAACAGCUCUUCAAAAGUGUUUUUGUUCUGUUUCCAAUCUUGAUGGAAAAGUUGUGUUUUUAAGAAAAGAGUGUUCUUUGUCACUCUCAGAUUGCUGUAUUAUUAACAUCACUGAAUACAGUAAUUGAGAUAUGUGUAUAAGUGUUGCUAAAAUGAUUAAAAGCUCUGGAAAUCAUAACCUGUCAGUGUUCCCUGGGAAACAAAGACCUUUCCAUGUGUUAGGGGACUCUGUAAGGGAAUGCACUGAGUCACUUUUAAAAUGACAGCUGUCACCCUUAGGAUUUGAGCCUCAAAGGAAGUGCAAAAAUAUAAAGAAAUACAUAUAAACUGUCAAUCAAAGUAUCCUUAUUUUGUUAUUAUUUUGAUCACCUCACUCUGGGCAAGGUGUGAUAACUUGUAAUUUUUCUAUGAUCUCUAGUGUCUGGAUUAGGUCCCAGUCAAUAGGAAAGCAGUUAUGUUUAGGAAUGUUAUAGUUUGAUAAAGCACUAUAUCCCUGCAUAUGUCUUUGCACAUUUUCUGUCACCGUCUUCACAAGGAAUAAAAUUUUACAAGGAUAAUGGCAUGUGAUAGCAGCACAUUUGAAAAUUAUUUCUGAGUUUUGGAAACCCAAUAAAAUGGAAACUGAGUGAUGGAACUGAAGGAUGUGAGGGGAUUUGAACCCUUUUAGUUCACUUGCAAAGAUUGUAUACUCUACAAAUACCACUACACCUUCCCCUUUUAUAUUUAAGUUGUUUUAGUAAAUGUAAGUGGUUUGUCAUUUCUCUGCUUAUACCAUUUUUCCUGUUUCUGAUACGUUUUCUGAACUAAGGCAGGUGGAGUCAUAACAUUUUCUGUGAAAUAAAAUGCAAAUUCUGUUAUGUUAAUGGACCACUAAGUACUGAAUUAGAUUAAGUAGUGGUGGUAAAUCAGCAAUUAUACUGGUAUUUUUUUUUUCAUAGAAAGAUUUCAGCAGAAAUAAAAUUCAGUGGUAGUCACAACCAGAGGAGAAAGCCUAGGGCUGUUGAUGUGCUUUACUGAAUUUAGUGUACAUUUUACCACUAUUCGGAUGAAGUCUUUAAAAUUAAGGAUGCUGAGCAAAGUGCUUUGAGUCAGCUGGUAACACAGUAUAUUAAUUACAGCUCAUAAUAACUUCCAUUUUUACAUAAUUGUUGCAUGGUUGUACACAUUGUACCAAAUAAAAUCCUCAGUCUUGACUGGUGAUUGUGAUUAAUAUUUAUGCUGCUGUUAAAAAUGAGCAUGCUUUUAGCUUCACUGAUGCUGAAGAUUUUCUGGAUUAUUUCUAAAAUGCAAAAAAAAAAAUAAUAACUAAAGAAAUUCCCAAACUUAGGAAACAGGUGGUUCUUCAAAUAGAGCUCUGAUUUUUUAUCGUCUGCAAGAAAGCAUUAUCUGCUAACAAACACAGGCGUUGAACCAGGAUUGGUCGUUCUCCAGACCACCCUUCAAGGCUUGAAAGUGUCAACUAGCAUUUGCUAGUAUGCCUUAUAAACACUCAGGAAGAAGGAAAUAAAGUGAAUGAGGGGAGCUGGCACGCACUUACAAGAAGCUAUGGGAUCCAAGAUUUGGCAGCUGCACCUGGUGGCUCCUUGCAGUUGUGUGUUGUCACUGCCCAUGGAAGCUUGAAAUUUUUCCAGGCAGGAGGCAAUGUGAACAUCACCUUAGACUACAGGAAUUACUGGUUAUCAGCGGAGCUGUCUCAGGUUUACAUUCUUGAUCCCACAGUAAGCUUGGCAAACCUCCAUGAAAGCUUUUUGAACAAGAAGUGCUUGAAUCAGACGUCCUCCAAUUGUUUGUACUUCUCCUCCUGAUGCCAUAAUAUGAUGGGCCCCUGACAUUUCACCUCUGCUAAAGGGAUAAGAUGAAAUAGGAACUGGAAGUCUGCCUAAAGCAUAGUAUUCAUUUUCCUUCUCUGUCUUGAUUUGUACUGCCAGCCACACUAAUACUGCAGCUGCAAUAGUUUUACAAUUUAGGAGUGCACAGAAGGUUAUUAAUAAGUGCAGAAGUAGGAAUCUUUUAAAAGGGAUGAUUCACUUGGAAAUUAAAGGACUGACUGUGCUUGCUAUCAUUAUAGAGGUUUUUUUUUUUUUCUUUUAAAAAAGUGGGUGUUCUUUUCCUUUAGAAGGAUUGCUGUGUCUUACUUUGACAUAUCCAAAAAGAUGGACUAACAAAAUUGACCUUCUGUCCAUAUUGUAUACCUAAACGAUUCACCUAAACAGACUCUGCUAGGGUAAUGUUGGAGCACUGAGUGGCAGUGUGGCAGUGAGCUGGGAUAUACCAGGGAACUUGCUUCACUUACUCUGGAUGAUGGAGGUGCAAAAAAUUAUUAUGGAAGCAUAAUUACCAGCCUCUGGAGUCUCUCCCAGAAGAAGACAGCACAUAAGGAAUCUAGAGUGUGAACAGAACCCUUAUUGUGGUACUCGACACUAGUACUACAACCCUUAAAAUGAGGCAAAGCCACAGUGCUUUUAAGAAGCUUAUCUUGUGGUCAAAGAUAAAGGCUUAUUAACAGCUGCUAAUCUCUGUUCUAAAUCUCUUAUAAUACAACAGUACCAUAACAGUGUUAAAAUAGUUUCACAUGUAUUCUUCUCUACUGUAUUUACUAUAUUCACAUGGUAUUCUACAAAUCCUUAUUAAAUGAUAUAGGAAUGCUUAUAUUACUUUUGUUCUCAAUUUAAAAUGAGGCACAAGAGAAUACAGAAUCAUUCAUAUAGCCAAUGCAUCUUCAAGCACUGAGACUCAAAGGGUAUUCAGAGUAAAUAUAAUUUCUCAUCUGGUCUAAGAUGAGAUAAGUCCCUAACAUAUACUCAUAAUGAAAUACCACUACUUUGAACUGCAUUAUAAUUACAGGAUGUUAAAUGUAUUAGUUAUCCAGAAUACACAUAUCAGAUUUUUUUCUCAUAAUUUCAGUACAAAAAAUCCCAAAAUAAAUUAUUUUUCACUGAAGAUGAAAAGGCUAUAUGUUUAGUUAUCAAGAAAAUAUUCUUAUUUAGAGCUGAAUAGUUUAUUGCAAUACCCCUAAUGAGAUUCCCUAUGGAACCCACAAUAGUGAAUGAAGAAUUUCUUCGUAAAAAUAUAGUUUCAAUAUAUUUCAGCAGCUUUAAUCAAAUUUCAAAUUGAAGAAUUUAAAGAAAUAAACAGAAGUCUUAUCUACAAAUAUUAUGAUGAAUAUUUUUUAUUAUAUGGUAAGAAGUUUGAAAAUGAAUAAGAAAUCUACUUUAAAUUCUCUACAUUAGAUAAAUUUUCAGUGUAAAGAAUUUUAAAUUGACAUAUAAAAAGAAAGCAGUGGUGACUAAUAGGGUCACUUGUGGAAAUCAUUACAGCAUGCAGCACCAUAAUUGAUGUCUGUUGUAAAAGGCUUAAAAAAUAUGCAUGGAACAUUUUCCUAUAAGCAGUAAUAACAUAAAUAAAUGCCAUUUCCUGAUGGUCAGACACCUAUGGUGUUUGUAUUUCAAUGCUGAUGCCAGCCUAGUGAUCCAUUUUUAUUGCUCUCAAAUCAAACCAAAAAGUCUUCUGCGUAUGAUUGUCCUCAAAAAGACAGAAAAUGUAUGGGUAUUACAAAAUCUAAUCACAAAUUUGUUAAGGAGCAUUUCUUGUUGCAGACAGUUCUUUAUUGCUACAGCAAUCUAUUGAUUUCCAGAUACAACUUGAGUAUUUCUUUUAAUUUUUAAAACAUUAAGGAUUACUGGCCAACUGUUCCCCUAGUUCUCUGGUAGCAGUUCCAUAGGUACACUAUAAUAAAAUUACCAUAGUGUUAGUGUUCAAAGUAUUAAAUAUGUUUACAGAAAUGGAAUCUUUACUAUUCCUUUCCUCAGUAGGUCAAGAUCUGAAUCUGCUGUUCAAUCAUCUAUGUUUCAAGCUAGUCCUAUACUAUUAACUCUUACCAAGGUAAAUUUCAGAAUGUUUACAGACAUUUUGUAGUCUUGCUCAAAUCAAAGGUAUUAUCUCUAAUGUAAAGAAUCUAAAGGGGGAAACACCAUUUUCACAAAAUAACACAGGGCCCCACAUUUUACUAGUUUGUAUUUAGGAAAAAAAAAAAAAUCUUAAAAACAUUAAAAAUAAUUUGUGUCCCAGACACAGAAGAAUGUUUCCCAAAAUUUGAACUAAGCAUUUUUGUAAGCCAGACAUUAUCAGGAACCAUCAACAAUAAAUAAACCAUGAUGCUGUGCUCUUUUCCCUGAAUCAUAACAUAUGCAUUAUGGAGUAUACAUCUCAGAAAAUUCUUAGAUGGCUCAUUAAUUCCCUGAUCCAUUUCUUCAUGCACUACUGAAACUUAGGUGACCUUUCACAAAUCAAACUAUGUGCACAGCAGACAGUUGUCCUUUCUACUGGAGAAAUUUCAUUUUUAGGGAAACAUUACUAACUGAAGAAAUAAGCUUUCAGCUGCCUUCAUGUCUUAGACUCAAUAAAGGAUAAGGAUAGGGUAUUUAUCCCAUGAGUGAACACCCUGAAGCAGUAAUACGUGGUUGGCUUAAAGGCGAUCUAAGAAUCUCGUUUGACGGACUGGACACUUUCUAAAUGAGAAAUCAAUGACUCUGUAUUCUGGGUAAAGAAGCCAGGAUGGUUUAUGACUUGCUUUACAUAUACUGUGGAUCCAGCCAAGCUCUGAAUCACACACAGUUGAAGACAGUAAAAGUAACAUCCCAUGUCCAGUGAGGUCAUUAGCAGCAUAAGGUACAUUCUGUCAGGACUCUGCACAGACAGUGACUUGUUAGAUUUUAGAAAUAGCCUGUAGAAAGACAGAUCUAUGUAGUUGGAAAAGGGGAGAUAACAUUUUUGGGUUUCAGUGCCUAAGAUGGGCAGCUAACUAGAUGCAGGCUGGUUUUGUUUCUGGCAAGAUUUGCAGAAAAAAUGAAAUGGGUAAAAAGGUAAUUCUGUCUACAGGAAUAGCACACACCUUUAUAAUACC